GGUGAAUCGUGCAAUAGGUGGAGCCAGCAUUAAUGAUGGAGAAAUAGAACUCAUACUGCAUAGGCGCUUGCUCUACGAUGAUUCUAGAGGAGUGGGUGAAGCCCUCGAUGAGACUGUCUGUGUGAGGACUGCAUGUGAGGGACUUACGGUUCGAGGGAAUUACUAUCUGGGCAUUUAUAAAAACGGUAAUGGGUGACAUUGGCGCAGAACAACUGGCCAAGAAAUUUAUUCACCUCUUGUUUUAGCUUUUGGACAUGAGAAUCAGGAAGAAUGGAGAGCUUCUCAUUUAACUAAAGCCACCAUCAUGAAUCCCAAUUAUAGUCUACCUCCUAAUAUUGCAUUGAUUACUCUCCAGGAGUUGGAUAAUGGAGGUGUACUUCUCCGUUUGGCUCAUCUAUACAAGGUAAAAAUAAACUAAGUUGUUUUUCUUGAAUAGACAUGAGCAUAAAAAUUGUGGAUGAAUCGGAAGUUGAUGAAAGUCUUAUCUCAUUUCCUUAUUUCAGUUGUACUUUGACAAAGAAACAACAACUUUACUUCUGAAAAAACAUGAACUGCUUGUAUUUAUUUGAAUUCUGAAACAGAAAAUGUAAAAUUAAGAGUGUGACACAUGACAUCAUUAUAGGUUGGACCUCUAUGCUUGUCCCUUGCUAACUGAUAUCACUACUUACCCUUUUGGUUUAUAUGUGUUGUGGAUGUGGAUAGGCUGGUGAAGACGCUGAUUAUUCGACAGUAACCAAAGUGUAACUGAAGGAUAUGUUUGCUGGAAAAACGAUAAAGGCAAUCAAGGAAACAAGCUUAUCGGCGAAUCAAGGCAAGAAUGAGAUGAAGAAGAUGAGUUGGAAUAUAGAACAUGACACAGGCAGUGAAUAUGCACCAAUUAGAGGGGGUCCAGUAGGCAUGUCUAGUCUCGCAGUCGAGCUUGGUCCAAUGGAAAUACGGACUUUUGUUGUUAUAUUUUGAAUAGAAAUUUGCUUAUUUUCUACCCAACAAGUUAAAAAGAACUGCUCCAUGGAGCCACUAAUAGUUCUUUUUAGUCAAAUUUAUUCAUAAUAAUAAAUUUGAUGUCUG